rnacentral:rRNA from 1 species
AAUAAGCGGAGGAAAAGAAACCAACAGGGAUUGCCCUAGUAACGGCGAGUGAAGCGGCAACAGCUCAAAUUUGAAAUCUGGCUCUUUCAGAGUCCGAGUUGUAAUUUGCAGAGGGCGCUUUGGCUUUGGCAGCGGUCCAAGUUCCUUGGAACAGGACGUCACAGAGGGUGAGAAUCCCGUACGUGGUCGCUAGCUAUUGCCGUGUAAAGCCCCUUCGACGAGUCGAGUUGUUUGGGAAUGCAGCUCUAAAUGGGAGGUAAAUUUCUUCUAAAGCUAAAUAUUGGCCAGAGACCGAUAGCGCACAAGUAGAGUGAUCGAAAGAUGAAAAGCACUUUGGAAAGAGAGUCAAACAGCACGUGAAAUUGUUGAAAGGGAAGCGCUUGCAGCCAGACAUGCUUGCAGUUGCUCAUCCGGGCUUUUGCCCGGUGCACUCUUCUGUAGGCAGGCCAGCAUCAGUUUGGGCGGUGGGAUAAAGGUCUCUGUCACGUACCUCUCUUCGGGGAGGCCUUAUAGGGGAGACGACAUACCACCAGCCUAGACUGAGGUCCGCGCAUCUGCUAGGAUGCUGGCGUAAUGGCUGUAAGCGGCCCGUCUUGAAACACGGACCAAGGAGUCUAACAUCUAUGCGAGUGUUUGGGUGUCAAGCCCGAGCGCGUAAUGAAAGUGAACGGAGGUGGGAACCCGCAAGGGUGCACCAUCGACCGAUCCUGAAGUUUACGGAAGGAUUUGAGUAAGAGCAUGGCUGUUGGGACCCGAAAGAUGGUGAACUAUGCUUGAAUAGGGUGAAGCCAGAGGAAACUCUGGUGGAGGCUCGCAGCGGUUCUGACGUGCAAAUCGAUCGUCAAAUUUGGGCAUAGGGGCGAAAGACUAAUCGAACUAUCUAGUAGCU